rnacentral:rRNA from 1 species
UGGGGAAUUUUGGACAAUGGGCGAAAGCCUGAUCCAGCCAUGCCGCGUGAGUGAAGAAGGCCUUCGGGUUGUAAAGCUCUUUUAGUCGGAAAGAAAGAGUUGCAAUGAAUAAUUGUGAUUUAUGACGGUACCGACAGAAAAAGCACCGGCUAACUACGUGCCAGCAGCCGCGGUAAUACGUAGGGUGCGAGCGUUAAUCGGAAUUACUGGGCGUAAAGGGUGCGCAGGCGGUCUUGCAAGUCAGAUGUGAAAGCCCCGGGCUUAACCUGGGAAUUGCGUUUGAAACUACAAGACUAGAGUGCAGCAGAGGGGAGUGGAAUUCCAUGUGUAGCAGUGAAAUGCGUAGAGAUGUGGAAGAACACCGAUGGCGAAGGCAGCUCCCUGGGGUGACACUGACGCUCAUGCACGAAAGCGUGGGGAGCAAACA